rnacentral:rRNA from 1 species
UAGGGAAUAUUGGACAAUGGGCGCAAGCCUGAUCCAGCCAUGCCGCGUGAGUGAAGAAGGCCCUCGGGUUGUAAAGCUCUUUUGUCCGGAAAGAAAAGCAUUCGGUUAAUACCCGGGUGUUCUGACGGUACCGGAAGAAUAAGCACCGGCUAACUUCGUGCCAGCAGCCGCGGUAAUACGAAGGGUGCAAGCGUUACUCGGAAUUACUGGGCGUAAAGCGUGCGUAGGUGGUUUGUUAAGUCUGAUGUGAAAGCCCUGGGCUCAACCUGGGAAUGGCAUUGGAUACUGGCAGGCUAGAGUGUGGCAGAGGGUAGUGGAAUUCCUGGUGUAGCAGUGAAAUGCGUAGAGAUCAGGAGGAACAUCCGUGGCGAAGGCGACUGCCUGGGCCAACACUGACACUGAGGCACGAAAGCGUGGGGAGCAAACA